rnacentral:rRNA from 1 species
UACAGAGGUCCCAAGCGUUGUUCGGAUUCACUGGGCGUAAAGGGUGCGUAGGUGGCGAGGUAAGUCGGAUGUGAAAGCCUCGGAGCUCAACUCCGAAAUGGCAUUGGAAACUACCUGGCUUGAGGGUUGGAAGGGGGACUCGGAAUUCUCGGUGUAGCAGUGAAAUGCGUAGAUAUCGAGAGGAACACCAGUGGCGAAGGCGAGUCCCUGGACAAUACCUGACACUGAGGCACGAAAGCUAGGGGAGCAAACAGG